rnacentral:misc_RNA from 1 species
UACGGAGGGUGCAAGCGUUAUCCGGAAUCACUGGGUUUAAAGGGUGCGUAGGCGGUCCGAUAAGUCAGCCGUGAAAUCGCUGGGCUCAACCCAUGCAAUUGCGGUUGAUACUGUCGGACUUGAAUGGGGUUGAGGCUGGCGGAAUGCGGCAUGUAGCGGUGAAAUGCUUAGAUAUGCCGCAGAACACCGAUUGCGAAGGCAGCCAGCUGGGCCUUGAUUGACGCUGAGGCACGAAAGCGUGGGGAGCAAACAGG